GGAGAGGUGUCAGAGUGGUCUAAUGAGCCGCACUCGAAAUGCGGUAGGGGCGAAAGCUCCUCGGGAGUUCGAAUCUCCCCCUCUCCG
rnacentral:tRNA from 1 species